UACAGAGGGUGCAAGCGUUGUUCGGAAUUACUGGGCAUAAAGCGCACGUAGGUGGUCCACUAAGUCGAGUGUGAAAUCCCCCGGCUCAACCGGGGAAUGGCGCUCGAUACUGGUGGGCUAGAGGUCGGUAGGGGUGAGCGGAACUCCAGGUGGAGCGGUGAAAUGCGUAGAUAUCUGGAGGAACACCGGUGGCGAAAGCGGCUCACUGGAUCGAAUCUGACACUGAGGUGCGAAAGCUAGGGUAGCAAACAGG
rnacentral:rRNA from 1 species